rnacentral:lncRNA from 1 species
GAACUCCUUACCCCAGCUGCCUGGCUGCCCUCAGCUUCCCAAAGCUCAAAUAAGAGGGGCCGGCGGCGCGGGGAAGAGGAGGAGCCAGGAGGCUCGGCCGCUCCAUUCACUCAGCAGCCCAAGCCCGGCCAGGCAGCGCGCGCUGCUCCUUGGGGGCGCCCUCGCAGCUGGGGUGAGGGCGGGUCCGAGGGAGCGUCCCUCUCGGAGACACCCUCCUCUUCAACCCAACACGCGCUCUCAGCUGGCCGGUGUGGCACAACCCUCCCCCCACCUCCCCUUCUUGGCCUUCGCCAGUGUGGGAGCCUCGUCUCACUGGAGAGUCCGUUCAGGCUCUGUCACUAUUUCCCAUUGGCCAAACGCUACUGGAAGUGGAAGGCUAAGAAGCCCGAUGGUGCAAUCCAUACACGUCAGCCUCUGGGGCCAGAGUGGGAUGAAAAAAGGCUCAUGAUGGAGCCCGAGUUAUAUGGCAGGAGAUGAUUUCCACGGUCUGUGAACACUGAAGAUGAGACUGGCUUGGGGCCACGUGCCAAACUGCACAGCCAGUAAGACCUGCUUCCAUCGACCCACAGCAGCUCUGACUUUUUUUUUUUAACAAUAGAGAAGAAACUACCACAGGGAAGAGAGAGAACAAUGGCAUUUUGACAAAUGGAACAAAGAUAGAGUGUGACUGACAAUUCAGGUCAGAAGGAAAAUUAAAGCACAGGAAGACUGAUGUUGGUCGGCCUCCUUGCCAAGAAGCAAAAACUCAGGGGGAGGCAUCCAGCCACAUGCGAACUGGCUCAACACUGGCCAUUUUGUUUGAGCAAUUUUGUUGGAUGUUUUCUACAAAAGAGCACUUUUUCUCGGACUUCAAACAUUCUUAUAUGCAGGAUCGACACCACACACUGCCAUCAUCCCCUGGAGUAGUAUCCUUGAGACCUGAGGAGGGGAAAACUGGAGGGACGUUGUGGGACUCCAUUGAGAAAUGUGGUCCUUUGUCUCCCUGGAGAUCUUUGAGGACGGUUCAGAUAAAGUUGCUGCCAGUGGAAGCAGCUAGGCUCAGAAACCUCCAGUUGCCCUUUCUAGACUUGUAAUCCUCUGAAAAAUGGAAAUUAGGAAGCGUUCAUUUAUGACCUUGAAAAAAAUCGUUUACAAAAGUAUAUUAUAUCACUAAAAUGAGCUGGAAAAAGGGUUUAUGUGAAAGUUCAUGUGAGAAACACAGCUAUUAGCACGCAUGCCAUUCCCCACCUUGACCUCAGCAGGAAUGUGUAAAUUGUAACAUAUGGAAUGUAAGCCCUGUCGAGAUGUUUCAUAAAUCUGCCUGGCAAUGAGCAUCACAAGGCCCUGCAUGAGAACAGGCCCCAGAAAUGGAGAGACAAAUAAAGAAACAUCAGAAAUAUUAAAAUGAGGACCAAAAGGAGUCCCAGAGAUGGGGUUUCACCGUGUUAGCCAGGAUAGUCUCAAUCUCCUGACCUCAUGAUCCGCCUGCCUUGGCCUCCCAAAGUGCUGGGAUUACAGGUGUGAGCCACCAUGCCCAGCCAAAUUUUCAAAUAAAUAA